UGAAAGGCUUUUAGCAAAGCUGUGGAAAUGGGCAGAAAAUGGGGAGGUGGGAGAAGAGGGCUCUUCCCGCUGAAUUCGCAUGCUUGUUUCUCCUCUUGGCUGAAGCACAAAAGUGGAGGCCUGGCCUUGCCUGCCCUCCCUGUCAGGGCGCCUCCUCUGCUCGCUCCCGGACAAGAGAAAAACCGAAACCCUAAGCCUAAGAGGAGCAGCGAAGAAUAACAAGCGUCCUUCUCCAGUCGCCACCCUUUUCCUUUCGAAGCAACCGCCCCCCCCCCCGCGCCCUUUACCUACUAUAUUAAUACGAAUAUUUUGUGGAAGUGGGGCCUAUAGUCAGGUUAAUAUAGUACAUACCUGUCUGAAACACGCUAGAUGAGAACAAGAGGCAUCUGCAGCCCCUGCCGAGAGGGGCGAGGGCUCUCCCGCAGGUAGGAGCAGCCUGGGCUUGCGGGGAUGUAGAUCCGCCGCUCCUUCCCUUCCCAAACUUCCCCUUUUAAAGCAAGCGUCUGGCAGGCAGUAGCAGUGUCGUACCAGUGCCUGUGACCCAGGGCCAGAUUUAGGUUUGAUGAGGCCCUAAGCUAUUGAAGGUAAUGAGGCCCUUUAUAUGUCCAGCUGUCCUUUGUCAACAACAAAUUGUUGCUGUUUUUUGUGUUUAAUAUAUGCUAUACAGUGGUACUUUGGGUUACAUACGCUUC